rnacentral:lncRNA from 1 species
ACAGCCACUCAAGGAACAGAUUUUCUAGAGGAUACUUUAUUCAAUUAGUUAGUCAAUUCCCUUGUAGAUGGGAAAUUAUCCCUAAACCAUCCCCACCAACCGAGGAGCCUCUACAGUGAGAAGCAAAGAUGAUGUUGAGAUGUAACAAUAGGAUACCUCAUUUGCAAUGCAAAUGAGCAACCAGCAGGCAAAUAAACCCUUAUGGGAAAACCACUCUAAUCAUAAAAACCCCUUGCUUUGGGGAGACUGCAGUGUAAGGACAAACAGAAUCAUAUCUUCCAGGCUCUUCUCCAAUACAGGAUAUUAAAGAAUUAUCCAGGUAGUUCUCUAUGAAAUUGCAUUUGAAUAUGGCAAAAUGCAUUGCUGGACAAUAGAUAAUAUCUUUAAAACUCCACAAUUGUGGACUGAAUUAUUUAUGGUUGUCACUAUAGCUAUGAUAGUUUGGAAAUAAAAUCGUCAGGCUUUUCUCUGUUUUUAUUUGUAGGAAAACAAGUCAUUCAAGCUUUUUAGUGAUACAAUGUGACUGGCUGUCGAUGGCAGUUACAAUUUUUCAAGCCCUGCCAAACACAGGAGUACCCAGAAGGGACAUAUGUUUUCUGUGCUUUGUGUUCCAAAUUCGCUUUAAAAACAUGCGAUUAUGUGAAGGCCUGAUUUAUAUUUCCAAGGAAAAGCACAAUAAUGGCUGUUUUGUAGCUGUGUUUCUCGAAAACGUGUUUCUAUUGCUGCCUUUUCAAAAGAAUUUGGCUAAUGAUCACUGGAUUUUCACUUUCCGUCAUGACGUAUUAAAAUUUGAUGAGGUCUGUGAAAUUUAAGAACUGAUUUCUUAAGUGCAGUGGAAAUGUAGUUAACAUCGUUUGGUACUGCAACCCUGGAAACAUCUUCUGUGGCUAUCUUUAAUCCACUUCCUUAUUUUUGUGGACAAUGGGAGAAGAAGAAGCAGGGGUAUUUGUAGCCAGGAGGCAAAGAGGGGAUAGAAUGACCAGGAUAACAAAGAGCAAACCUUGGAAGGUACGUAGGCCUAUAGGUAUGCAUGAGUGUAAGUAGAAGACAAGGUGUUGCGGACAUUUCCAGGGGACAGAGGGAUGACUCUGGAGAGGAAAGGAAAUUGUGAAGGAGGAAAGUGAGGAGUUUUGGUCACAUUUUAUGCUCAACUGAAAAUUGCUGUAAAGCCCUUUAUAAAUUGUAUAAUCACUGGCUUUGAAUUCAUGCCCUUCGUUGCUAUUAUUAAUGAUGGCUUUCACUCCACUCUCUCAGAAGCAUUUCUAGUAAAUUUAUGAAAAGAAGAUGAAUUAGUCUCUUUCUGGACUGGGGAGCCCCUCCUGGGAGGUCAACAAUUUUUUUACUUGUUCUUUUUUAGUAAUGGAGGUGGAGAAAGGUGAAAGGCCAAUUUCACCUAAUAAAGGAGUUCAUGAACAAAUAAUGAUCAUAGUAUGGAAUUUCAGGGUAUUUCAAAGCUAAGAGAAAAAUAUUAGGGGGCAGCGAAAAGAUAGAAGUUGGAGUUCCUACCAUGGCACAGUAGGUUAAGAAUCCAAGUUCAAGAGUUCCUGUUGUGGCGCAGUAGAAACCAACCCAACUAGUAAAACCAUGAGGAUGCAGGUUCAAUCCCUGGCCUUGCUCAGUGGGUUAAGGAUCUGGUGUUGCCAUGAGCUGGGGUUGUAGGUCGAAGACUCAGCUCGAUUUCUGCAUUAAUGUGGCUGUGGUGUAGGGCAGCAGCUGUGGCUCCAAUUGGACCCCUAGCCUGGGAACCUCCAUGAGCCUUGGGUGCUGCCCUAUAAAGGGAAAGAAAAAAAAAAAAGAAUCUGACUUCAGCGGCUCAGGUUUGGGUUCAAGGAGGUUUGGGGUUAAUUCCUGGCCUGGCACAGUAGGUUUAAGGAUCUGAUGUUGCCACAGCUGUGGCAUAGGUCACAGCUGUGGCCCAGAUUUAAUCUUGGCCUAGGAACUUCCAUAUGCUGUGGGUGCGGCCAAAAAAAAAAAAAAAAGGAGUUUUCAGUAAAGGUAACAAGGUAACAUUUGUAAUGUGUUUUGAUUGCUUUGUACAAAUCUAGAGUCAUCACUUAGUUUAGGAAUAUAAAUGUCUUUAUGUAACAUAUACACUCAAAGUAUUUAUGUGGUAUGUUUAGAAUUAUAAAGGCUAGGAAAAGUACAAUAUGAAAAAUUGUAAUAAUACCAUGUCUUUCCCAUAAUAUUCUAAUCUUAAGGAGAAUAAUUUUCAAAUCCUUAAAAAAUUAUUUCACCCUCUGGAAUUCACAUCUCGGGUUUAGGAUAAGAAGUCAUAAUAUCUAAGAGGUCUUUUAAGGCUCAGAUCCAAGUGCAUUUUUCUUACAAGAUUGUGUGUGGGCUUGGUUUGAGCCUAAUAUGCUUUCAUCUGCUUUUGUGGAUACUGGAGAAGGCAGUCUAAGCAAAUGUUGAAUUCAUUCUCUGGUAAUGUCUUUUAUUAGGAAGGAGAAAUAGGCCCUCAGUUUGAUGGAAUCAUCUUCCACAUAGUCAAAUACUGUUGUGGUUUCUCUCCCAGUCAGCUUUUUUAACAUUACCUCCUGGGUUCAGGUCUUGCCAGAAGAGCCAUCCAGGGAAAUUUUAAGUGGAAACCUCAGGUGGGGUGUUUUCACAUUCUUUUUGUAUGUGUGUGCUUUUUAGGGCCACACCUACGUCAUAUGGAAGUUCCCAGUCUAAGGGUCAAAUUGGAGCUGUAGCCACUGGCCUAUACCACAACCACAGCAACACCAGAUCCGAGCCACGUCUGCCACUUACACCACAGCUCAUGGCAAAGCCAGAUCCUUAACCCAUUGAGUGAGGCCAGGAAUUGAAUCUUGCAUCCUCAUGGAUCCUAGUCAGAUUCAUUACCACUGCGCCAUGACAGGAACUCCUGUUUUCAUAUUCUAAAGCUAGGUUUUCAAUUUUGUCCCUCAAUGAAAGCAAGUUAAAGAGUAAUUAUUGAGUCAUUUAAGACAAUUUGUAAGGUGCUUCAACUUUACAAAAUGGCGGCUCUCCCGUUUUGUACACAUCUAGAGUCAUCAUUUAGCUUUGGUGUCCAUCUGAGUUUAUGGCAAAGGCCUGGAGGCAGUCAUAGAGAUUCAGAUGAUCCUAUGGAGGAAAUACCGAUUUCCUCCUUUGCUGUCUUCCUCAGGCGUCAUGGGACGGUGCAAGGACAUCACAGCUUAACCUGGCUCUACCCACCAGUGAAGUUCAUUCAUUCACACUAAGCUGGAAGUAUAAGGAUUGUCCUUUACAAAGGCCAAAUUAUUGAGACAGUAGCUAAGAGACUGGAGGUGAGGCUGAGGCAUCCCCUGUGGUCUGUUCAAUGAACUCAGGAGAGGUGAUAAAAGAACCAAAUUCCUAACACCGUGGGUACCAAGAGCCUCUGGCCAUCACAUCAGAAAAUUUAGCCCAGAAAGAGUCCUCAGAUCAUUUCCCCCAGGGUCUCCUUGUGAUUCAGCUUGGGGUGAAAUGGAACGAGGAGCAGAGGAUGGGGCACGUGGCCGUUCUGAUGCACUGGACUCCUGUCAGGAAAGAGCAUCUUUGGAAUGCGAUCUGGCAAAACAUUUUUCGGUCUCCCGUUUCUGCUGUCAGUCCCAUUCCUGAUCUUUUCUCUCCCAAGUCAACGCCUAUUUUCUCCUUUCCUUCCAUGACCUGCUACUUCUUCCUUCCUUCCCGCCCAGUUGAGUCAAGCCUACCCCAGAAUUUGGGGCUAAGGAUUCAGUUGAAUUGGAGGAAAGACUGGAAAUGAGGGUUGGAAUAUCCCAGGUGUUACUCGGAAGCUCACCUCUCCCACUGGCCUCUCAUAGAGAGGAAUUAUGGGUUUCCAGAAAUUGCAUUUUGUGGGCAUACUCUUAGCAUUAUAUGUUUUUAACUUAUUUUCUUUUUGCUUUGAUGAGUUCGAACAUCAAGUGACCCUUGAAGCGCUACAACACUUAAAUGCACUCUUUCAGGUAGGAACUGAGCAGGUGAGCUUCUAAACAUUCACUGGGUAAUUUGAUUUUCUCUUCGGUGGUUGGUUUUUCGGUGAAAAGUACAGUCCUUUUAGUUCCUAUAAAAUAGCAAUGAAGAGUAAAUUCUCUGUAAAUGUCACUUCUUAAUGGAAUUAGAAACAAAUUGUGAAUGCAUCAGAACAAAAGGGAUAACGUGUUAGAAGUUGACAGAGUUCAGGUAAGUCCAAUCAGACAUUCAGUUCUUUGGACUCUUGCUUUCAGACUAAACAAAAUACAGCUAUGUUCAUAGCUAAUUAUUCUCUUUCCAUCUUAGGAGUAUGAGAAAAGAGGAAGACAGCUGUUGGAUAUGGAGACUUUCAAAUGCAUAAUGAAGCAGAGCAUGAGGUUACAGAAUAAAAGUACUGAACAAAUAGAACAACUUUUCAUGAAAAUAGACUAUGAAGCAGUGGGCAGAAUUCAUUGGGAUGGCUUCUGCACAUAUCUGCAGUUAGCAUAUUCAGAGCAAGCUGAUGCUUUGGCUCGACAGAAAGAGGUUUCCUUCCAGCUGCCUGCUGUGCUGCAGGGACUGUCGUACGGGGGACCCGUGCUGCGCAUUCUCUCUGUGCCUGAUGACACCUUAAUCAUGAUCAGAGAAGAUGGAGCCAUUUAUUUCUGGUCCCUGCAGCUGAAGUUGAAAAGAAGAAAGCGAGUUUUUGACAAGCCCAUCAUUCGGAAGCGCCGGUGGGUGACGGAUGCCACCAGCAUGCCACAGUACAACAAACUGAUCCUAGGAACUGGAAACCGUGAAAUCCAGCUGUAUGAGUUCUCUAACUUGGAGCCUUACUGUCAGAUUGGUGGCCUGGAAGCUGUCCCUCUGAAACUGGACUACUGGUACGAGGAUCCUGACAAGUGCCUGAUUCUCUAUGGUGAUGACCAGGGAUGUGUGAACAUUCUGUUUUUGGCUUCUGUCGGUGAACUAUUAAGGGAAGCGUGGGAUGCAGUUCCCUGACAAUGACUAGAGACUGACUUCUCAUCACCUGCAGCCUUUUGAUGACAGGACCCAAGGACACAAAUGUUCCCCUAAGUGUCCCUUCUUCACCAAAACCAUUCCUCCACAAAGUAAACAUGAAGCUAUAUGGAAAAAGAAACAAAAGCAACAUUUUCUCUGAGAUAGCUGGAUAUGAACAUUACUCCAAGCCUGAAACGAGCAUAUUGUAAUCAGUUUUAAAUGAGUGAGAAGGUCCCUGGUAGGCAUCUUAUCAAACUUGUGACCACCCCAGGGGAAGCAGAAGCCUCUCUGCCACGACCCUGGGAAGGAGACAUUCCAGACUGCCUUGACUCUUCCAGGAAAAGGGAGCCACUGCCUCACAAGGCCCUGCCUCAGGGAGCCCCUGAAGAUGUGGAUUCUAUCCAAAUAUUAGAAAGCAGUUCCUUAGGUGACUCCAAAUAGGCGUGCCACACUUCCAGGAAACAGAGUAAGCUGAAUCCACGCAUCCACUCCUACUCCCUCCUAAAUAGAACUCUCCUAAACAACAGGAAAGGGCUGGUUCUUCCCCUGAAGACACAGGCCCCUGAGGAUGAGGUGAGUGAGAAGAAACAGCAGCAAUAAAAUUUGGAAGUUAGAAAGCAGAUAAACAGAUUGUAAGUGACCUAGGAAACCCCCACCCCAAAAAAAGUAAGUCCUUACAUCAGCUGUGGAAAAAAACUGAGAGUCAGUUCAUUUCAUAAAGCAGAACCCCACCUCCUAGCCCCUGCCCAGGCCCAAGAACUGGCGGCACUGCCUCCUAGGUGACUGACGGCCAUACUUUCCCCUUCUAGCCAGGAAACAACAGUAAAAUGCCAGUGAUAAUCUCUGGGGAGUUGAGAUGAAAUCCAUUAAAUAAGAAGAUGAAAAAUCCAGAGAACUAAAAGAAUUCUUAGAAAUUAAAAUCGUGAUUUAAAAGAUGAACUAUUCCAUUAAAACUUAAUGGAAUAGUUGGAAGAUAAUAUUCUCCCAGAAAGUAGAACAAAAAGACCCACCAAAAUAAAUAAAUAAAUAAAUGAGAAAAGAUAAAACAAUAGGAAGUAAAAUUGCCAAAUAUUAAGGGUACGAGAAAGAGAAGAGGGAAGAAAAUAAUCCAAUAGGAGUUCCGUCAUGGCUCAGUGGAAAUGAAUCUGGCUUGUAUCCAUAAGGACACAGGUUUGAUCCCUAGCCUCGCUCAGUGGGUGAAGGAUCCAGCAUUACCGUGAGCUGUGGUGAGGUCGAAGAUGCAGCUCGGAUCUGGUGUGGUUGUAUCUGUGACUGUGACAUAGGCCAUUGGCUACAGCUUUGAUUCACCACCUAGCCUGUGAACCUCCGUAUGCUCCGGUGAGGCGAGGCCCUAAAAAAAGACAAAAGAAAAAAAA